rnacentral:rRNA from 1 species
GAUGAACGCUAGCGGCAGGCCUAACACAUGCAAGUCGAGGGGUAACUAGAGUGAUAGCAAUAUUACUUUGGCUAGACCGGCGCACGGGUGCGUAACACGUAUGCAACCUACCUUAUACUGGGGAAUAACUUCGAGAAAUCGGCGCUAAUACCCCAUAACAUUGCGAAGAGGCAUCUCUUUGCAAUUAAAGCUCCGGCGGUAUAAGGUGGGCAUGCGUCCAAUUAGCUAGUUGGUGAGGUAACGGCUCACCAAGGCUACGAUUGGUAGGGGUUCUGAGAGGAUGAUCCCCCACACUGGGACUGCGACACGGACCUGACUCCUACGGGAGGCAGCAGUGAGGAAUAUUGCGCAAUGGACGAAAGUCUGACGCAGCCAUGCCGCGUGCAGGAUGACGGCCCUAUGGGUUGUAAACUGCUUUUGUACGGGAAUAAACCCUUCUACGUGUAGGAGGCUGAAGGUACCGUAAGAAUAAGCACCGGCUAACUCCGUGCCAGCCGCCGCCGUAA